rnacentral:sRNA from 1 species
GGUGAAUAAUGCAUGGAGUAAAUACCUACAGGAAGCCUUCCCAUAGGUGUAAAACCUUUACUUCAGGAAAUAAAAGAGGAAGAUAAAUAUAUCUUUUAUCUUUUUAAAAGAUAUAUUUAAAAAUAUCUUUUUAAAAGAUUUUUUAAAUAGAAUCAACUGUUUGGCUGAAUCUGCAUAAUGAAGAUUAAUGGAGCUUUAUUUCCUGCUCUCUCUGCCCAAGUCACUCUACAGCAGGGCCCUCAGAGAGCCCUAGUAACUUCUUCAAUUUACUGACAGAUGGAUCACUUUGCAGUAUAAUAAUAUUUAAUGCCAGGAAAUGUGAAGAAUUCACCUGGAACGAAGUAGAAAACUCCAUGCUCUGCCAUGUGAAUCAGGAAAAACUAGACCAGACCUCUGUUAUCUUCUGUGAUAUCAUCCUACAAGCAAACUAAUCUGGAAUCCCUUCACCUAGAGAUAAUGUA